rnacentral:rRNA from 1 species
UCGGGAAUUUUGGGCAAUGGGCGAAAGCCUGACCCAGCAACGCCGCGUGAAGGAUGAAGUAUUUCGGUAUGUAAACUUCGAAAGAAUAGGAAGAAUAAAUGACGGUACUAUUUAUAAGGUCCGGCUAACUACGUGCCAGCAGCCGCGGUAAUACGUAGGGACCAAGCGUUGUUCGGAUUUACUGGGCGUAAAGGGCGCGUAGGCGGCAAUUCAAGUCAUCUGUGAAAUCUCCGGGCUUAACUCGGAACGGUCAGAUGAUACUGCUUUGCUAGAGUGCAGAAGGGGCAAUCGGAAUUCUUGGUGUAGCGGUGAAAUGCGUAGAUAUCAAGAGGAACACCUGAGGUGAAGACGGGUUGCUGGGCUGACACUGACGCUGAGGCGCGAAAGCCAGGGGAGCAAACGGGAUUAGAUACCCUAGUAGUCCUGAGCGGGCUGGCAAGGCGCAU